AGGAGGAACAACCACAGUGGCGGCAGCCAGCUCUGCAGCCCUAGAGUCAGCUCCCGCAGUAACUAGGGAGCUCUCAGUCUGCAGGGACCUGGAGGCUCUGGGGCGGG
rnacentral:pre_miRNA from 1 species